rnacentral:rRNA from 1 species
AUUGAACGCUGGCGGCAUGCCUUACACAUGCAAGUCGAGCGGCAGCACGGGUGCUUGCACCUGGUGGCGAGUGGCGAACGGGUGAGUAAUACAUCGGAACGUACCUUAUCGUGGGGGAUAACGCAGCGAAAGCUGUGCUAAUACCGCAUAAGCCCUGAGGGGGAAAGCGGGGGAUCGAAAGACCUCGCGCGAUUAGAGCGGCCGAUGCCUGAUUAGCUUGUUGGUGGGGUAAAAGCCCACCAAGGCGACGAUCAGUAGCUGGUCUGAGAGGACGAUCAGCCACACUGGGACGGAGACACGGCCCAGACUCCUACGGGAGGCAGCAGUGGGGAAUUUUGGACAAUGGGGGCAACCCUGAUCCAGCAAUGCCGCGUGAGUGAAGAAGGCCUUCGGGUUGUAAAGCUCUUUUGUCGGGGAAGAAACACCGGCUCUAACACAGUCCGGGAAUGACGGUACCUGAAGAAUAAGCACCGGCUAACUACGUGCCAGCAGCCGCCGUAA